AGCUUGAAGUUCUCGUCGGGGAAGCGCUCGCCGUAGAUGCUCUUCCCUGGGGGGGAGGAGGGGGGGCAGGAGGAUUAUCGUGGUGGCCUGACCCCGACCCGCUGCUGGCCAAGCACAUGGCCCGUGUUAUUAAAAGACUUCGAGCAGAGUCUUGUUUAUGGCUUCUUACCCCUCCUGCCACUGGGGUGAGUGUGCCCCCUACGUCUAGGCUGGGAGAGAGACAGAAUGAGAAAGACAGAGACACCUGCAGCCCUGCUUCACCACUCGUGAAGCUUUCCAGCUGCAGGUGGGGACCAGGGGCUUAAACCUGGAUCCUUGCACACUGUAAUGUGUGCACUUAACCAAGUGUGCCACCACCUGCCCCCCCUUUUUUAAUUUUAUUUUUUAGAUUUUUUUUUAAAACUUUAUUUUCCCUUUUGUUGCCCUUGUCUUUUUUUUGUUGUUGUUGUGAUUGAUGUGGUGGUUAUUGGAUAGGACAGAGAGAAAUGGAGAGAGGAGGGGAAGACAGAGAGGGGGAGAGAAAGAUAAGACACCUGCAGACCUGCUUCACCGCCUGUGAAGCGAUUCCCCUGCAGGUGGGGAGCCGGGGGCUGGAACCCGGAUCCUUACGCCGGUCCUUGCGCUUUGUGCCACCUGUGCUUAACCCACUGCGCUACCCCUUGACUCCCAACUCUCCCAUUUAAAAAAAAAAUUACUAUUGAAUACAGAUAAAGCCACCUGCAGCUCUGCUUCACCACUUGUGAUGCUUUCUUCCUGCAGGUGGGGACCGGGGGCUUAAACCCUGUUCCUUGCAUACUGUAAAGUGUGUGCUUAACCAGUUGUGCCACCACCCGACCCCAAACUCUCCCAUUUUUUAAAGACAGAGUGUGGUCCGGGUGGUGGCGCAGUGGACUCUCAAGCAUGAGGUCCUGAGUUCAAUCUCUGGCAGCACAAAGACCAGAAUGAUGACUGAUUCUUUUUUUACCAGAGCACUGCUCAGCUCUGGUUUAUGGUGGUGCGGGGGAUA